AAAAGCUCUCGUAUAAUAGAACUAGGUCCAGUGAUGAAAUGGACCCCUAUAAAUUUUUUGGAGGCUUUUUAACAUGGAACAAGGCACAGUAAAAUGGUUCAACAAUGAAAAAGGAUUUGGCUUUAUCACAGUGGAUGGCGGCGACGAUGUAUUCGUACAUUUCUCAGCAAUCCAAGGCGACGGCUUCAAAUCUCUUGAAGAAGGUCAACCUGUUCAAUUUACCAUUGUUGAAGGUGCACGCGGCCCACAAGCAGCUGAAGUAACUAAACUAUAAUUUUAAAUUUUUUAAAAUAAAAUAGCGUUAUUACAGCAAAGCUCGGAGAAAUCCGAGCUUUUUUCC
rnacentral:sRNA from 1 species